AGAGUUUGAUCCUGGCUCAGAGCGAACGCUGGCGGCGUGCCUAACACAUGCAAGUCGAACGUGAAAGGGAGCAAUCCUGAGUAAAGUGGCGUACGGGUGAGUAACGCGUAGGUAAUCUACCCCAAAAUCUGGAAUAACCUGCCGAAAGGCGGGCUAAUACUGGAUAGAGCGAUGGAAUCCGUAAUUGGGUUUUUCGGGAA
rnacentral:rRNA from 1 species